AAAGCUUCACCAAGGCACCGUUCCGUAGUUGGUUUGAGGAGGACGCCCACCCACCACUGGGAUGAGAACCACGGCCCAGACUCCCUACGGGGAGGCAGCAGUGGGGAAUUUUGGACAAUGGGGGAAACCCUGAUCCAGCCAUCCCGCGUGUAUGAUGAAGGCCUUCGGGUUGUAAAGUACUUUUGGCAGAGAAGAAAAGGUAUCUCCUAAUACGAGGUACUGCUGACGGUAUCUG
rnacentral:rRNA from 1 species